GAAGUGGGCCAGACGACUGCGGGGCCCGUCAUCUGUAGACCGGAGGGCGGGCCAUGAGGAAAGUCCGGGCUCCACAGGGCAGGAAGCUGGCUAACGGCCAGGCGGGGUGACCCGACGGAAAGCGCCGCAGAAAAGAAGACUCCCGCUGCCCGCUCAGGCGGGUGAGAGAAAAGCUGAAACGGUGGUGUAAGAGACCACCAGCGCCUGGGCGACCAGGCGGCUUGGCAAGCCCCUUUCGGAGCAAGCGCAAAUAGGAGCGCCAUGGUGUGGCCCGCACUGCGCUCGGGUUGCGUGCUAGAGAGCACCGGUAACGGUGCCCGUAGAUAAAUGGCCGUCCACGACAGAACCCGGCUUAUCGGCCCACUUCGCUC
rfam:Olsenella sp. oral taxon 807 strain F0089, complete genome.